CGCAAGAGAAAUGAUUGACUCGUAGAACUCGUCAAAACUUUCUCCCUCUUUUUGUUUGCGUCUAUCGAUGCUCGCUCUUAUCUGUAGGUCGGUUCGUUCGUCCUUAAAUUGACUUUUAAGAGCUUGGCAAAGGCCCUCCCAUUGUACCAUAGGUACACUUUUGUGGUACCGCCAAAACCAUUCGCUUGCGGUUCCUUCAAAAAGGUUGCUGGCAUACCGCGCAAGCAAUUCGAAAUUGCCCUGCAGCGUUUGGGAUGUCAAUGCCUCGACCCGAUAGAUAAAGUCGUCGACGCCUAAAACAGAUUUACCAGAAAAUCGAAGUUUCCAAUUAAAAAUAAUUUGGCUAAUUCGAUCUGGGCGCAAGUCCGAACCAUUAGGAGUAUUUCUAUUUUCCGGCGGUAGACCAAGACCAUUCGAUGGAAACAAGGUAGCAGAAUUUUGAUGGCUGGGAACUCCAGGAUCAGUUUGCUGUCUAAAAGUUGGUGGUGGAGUUGGAUUGGAGCAUUGAACAUACCCAGUAGGAGAUAAUCUCUCGAACCCUGUCUGUAAGGCUUGGAUUAUCAAAUCGGUCUGUCGAGCUGUGGCUUGUG
rnacentral:lncRNA from 1 species